rnacentral:rRNA from 1 species
GAUGAACGCUGGCGGCGUGCUUAACACAUGCAAGUCGAGCGGAGAUUAUAAUUAGUUUACUAAAUAUAAUCUUAGCGGCGGACGGGUGAGUAACGCGUGGAAAACCUGCCCUAUGCAGGGGGAUAACAUGAAGAAAUUCAUGCUAAUACCGCAUAAGCGCACAGUAUCACAUGAUACAGUGUGAAAAACUCCGGUGGCAUAGGAUGGUUCCGCGUCUGAUUAGCUAGUUGGUGAGGUAAUGGCUUACCAAGGCGACGAUCAGUAGCCGGCCUGAGAGGGUGAACGGCCACAUUGGAACUGAGACACGGUCCAAACUCCUACGGGAGGCAGCAGUGGGGAAUAUUGCACAAUGGGGGAAACCCUGAUGCAGCGACGCCGCGUGAAGGAUGAAGGUUUUCGGAUCGUAAACUUCUAUCAGUAGGGAAGAUAGUGACAGUACCUAACUAAGAAGCCCCGGCUAACUACGUG